AGUGAACGCUGGCGGUAGGCCUAACACAUGCAAGCCGAACGGCAGCACAGUAAGAGCUUGCUCUUACGGGUGGCGAGUGGCGGACGGGUGAGGAAUACAUCGGAAUCUACUUUUUCGUGGGGGAUAACGUAGGGAAACUUACGCUAAUACCGCAUACGACCUACGGGUGAAAGCAGGGGAUCUUCGGACCUUGCGCGAUUGAAUGAGCCGAUGUCGGAUUAGCUAGUUGGCGGGGUAAAGGCCCACCAAGGCGACGAUCCGUAGCUGGUCUGAGAGGAUGAUCAGCCACACUGGAACUGAGACACGGUCCAGACUCCUACGGGAGGCAGCAGUGGGGAAUAUUGGACAAUGGGCGCAAGCCUGAUCCAGCCAUACCGCGUGGGUGAAGAAGGCCUUCGGGUUGUAAAGCCCUUUUGUUGGGAAAGAAAAGCAGCAGGUUAAUACCCCGCUGUUAUGACGGUACCCAAAGAAUAAGCACCGGCUAACUUCGUG
rnacentral:rRNA from 1 species